GGGGUGCUCGAGUGGCGAACGGGUGGGUAACACGUGAGUAACCUGCCCUUGACUUUGGGAUAACUUCAGGAAACUGGGGCUAAUACCGGAUAGGAGCUCCUGCUGCAUGGUGGGGGUUGGAAAGUUUCGGCGGUUGGGGAUGGACUCGCGGCUUAUCAGCUUGUUGGUGGGGUAGUGGCUUACCAAGGCUUUGACGGGUAGCCGGCCUGAGAGGGUGACCGGCCACAUUGGGACUGAGAUACGGCCCAG
rnacentral:rRNA from 1 species